rnacentral:rRNA from 1 species
GACGAACGCUGGCGGCGUGCCUAAUACAUGCAAGUAGAACGCUGAAGCGAGGAGCUUGCUCUUCUUGGAUGAGUUGCGAACGGGUGAGUAACGCGUAGGUAACCUGCCUGGUAGCGGGGGAUAACUAUUGGAAACGAUAGCUAAUACCGCAUAAAAUUGAUUAUUGCAUGAUAAUUAAUUGAAAGAUGCAACUGCAUCACUACCAGAUGGACCUGCGUUGUAUUAGCUAGUUGGUGAGGUAACGGCUCACCAAGGCGACGAUACAUAGCCGACCUGAGAGGGUGAUCGGCCACACUGGGACUGAGACACGGCCCAGACUCCUACGGGAGGCAGCAGUAGGGAAUCUUCGGCAAUGGGGGGAACCCUGACCGAGCAACGCCGCGUGAGUGAAGAAGGUUUUCGGAUCGUAAAGCUCUGUUGUAAGAGAAGAACGGGUGUGAGAGUGGAAAGUUCACACUGUGACGGUAUCGUACCAGAAAGGGACGGCUAACUACGU